rnacentral:rRNA from 1 species
UACGUAGGCAGCAAGCGUUGUUCGGAGUUACUGGGCGUAAAGGGUGUUGUAGGCGGUUCUUUAAGUUUGGUGUGAAAUCUCCCGGCUCAACCGGGGAGGGUGCGCCGAAUACUGAGGGACUAGAGUGCGGGAGAGGAAAGUGGGAAUUCCUGGUGUAGCGGUGAAAUGCGAUAGAUAUCAGGAGGAACACCGGUGGUGUAGACGGCUUUCUGGACCGUAACUGACGCUGAGACACGAAAGCGUGGGGUAGCAAACAGGG